rnacentral:tRNA from 1 species
UCCCUAGUGGUCUAGUGGUCAGGAUUCAGAGCUUUCACUGCUGUGGCCCAGAUUCAAUUCCUGGUCUGGGAA